UGUGAACUCGAAGAGUAGGGCGGGACACGUGGUAUCCUGUCUGAAUAUGGGGGGACCAUCCUCCAAGGCUAAAUACUCCUGACUGACCGAUAGUGAACCAGUACCGUGAGGGAAAGGCGAAAAGAACCCCGGCGAGGGGAGUGAAAAAGAACCUGAAACCGUGUACGUACAAGCAGUGGGAGCACCUUCGGGUGUGACUGCGUACCUUUUGUAUAAUGGGUCAGCGACUUAUAUUCUGUAGCAAGGUUAACCGUAUAGGGGAGCCGCAGGGAAACCGAGUCUUAACUGGGCGUUAAGUUGCAGGGUAUAGACCCGAAACCCGGUGAUCUAGCCAUGGGCAGGUUGAAGGUUGGGUAACACUAACUGGAGGACCGAACCGACUAAUGUUGAAAAAUUAGCGGAUGACUUGUGGCUGGGGGUGAAAGGCCAAUCAAACCGGGAGAUAGCUGGUUCUCCCCGAAAGCUAUUUAGGUAGCGCCUCGUGAACUCAUCUUCGGGGGUAGAGCACUGUUUCGGCUAGGGGGUCAUCCCGACUUACCAACCCGAUGCAAACUACGAAUACCGAAGAAUGUUAUCACGGGAGACACACGGCGGGUGCUAACGUCCGUCGUGAAGAGGGAAACAACCCAGACCGCCAGCUAAGGUCCCAAAGUCAUGGUUAAGUGGGAAACGAUGUGGGAAGGCACAGACAGCCAGGAUGUUGGCUUAGAAGCAGCCAUCAUUUAAAGAAAGCGUAAUAGCUCACUGGUCGAGUCGGCCUGCGCGGAAGAUGUAACGGGGCUAAACCAUGCACCGAAGCUGCGGCAGCGACACUAUGUGUUGUUGGGUAGGGGAGCGUUCUGUAAGCCUGCGAAGGUGUGCUGUGAGGCAUGCUGGAGGUAUCAGAAGUGCGAAUGCUGACAUAAGUAACGAUAAAGCGGGUGAAAAGCCCGCUCGCCGGAAGACCAAGGGUUCCUGUCCAACGUUAAUCGGGGCAGGGUGAGUCGACCCCUAAGGCGAGGCCGAAAGGCGUAGUCGAUGGGAAACAGGUUAAUAUUCCUGUACUUGGUGUUACUGCGAAGGGGGGACGGAGAAGGCUAUGUUAGCCGGGCGACGGUUGUCCCGGUUUAAGCAUGUAGGCUGAUUGUCCAGGCAAAUCCGGAUAAUCAAGGCUGAGGUGUGAUGACGAGGCACUACGGUGCUGAAGUAACAAAUGCCCUGCUUCCAGGAAAAGCCUCUAAGCAUCAGGUAACAUCAAAUCGUACCCCAAACCG
rnacentral:rRNA from 1 species